GGCCAAAUUGCCUAACUUCGGUGAACUUAAGGACUGGUCAAGUCUUAAGUGAAAGGUUCGAAUCCUUUUUAGGCAACCA
rnacentral:tRNA from 1 species